rnacentral:misc_RNA from 1 species
AACGCACAUUGCGCCCGCCCCUUAAAGGGCGGGCAUGCCUGUCCGAGCGUCGUGUCAACCCUCAAGCUCGUCUUGGUGUUGGGGACCCGCGCGAUGCGCGGCCCCCGAAAUGCAGUGGCGGCCUCGACCGCGGCCCGAGCGCAGUAACGUCUCGCCGGGAGCCGCGGGCGCUGGAUCCAGCCGUAAAGCAGCAAUUGUUUAACCAAUGACCUCGGAUCAGGUAGGAAUACCCGCUGAACUUAA